AGGAGCGGUCGGAAGGAAAAACACCUCUUCCUGCAAAACGCCCCGCAGCAGCCCAGGCAACCGGGGCGGCCCGGUGAUUCGCCACCGACGAGAGCUUCAAGGGCCUUCCUCUCUUGCAGCCCCGGCGCGCGGGACGGAAGAUGGGAAGCCAGCCGGAGUGGUUUUGUUUUGUUUUGAUGCCAGCUGCUGCUGCUGCUGCUGCCGCCGCCGCCUUGUCAGCUGCUUCCCUCCCAAGAACAACAACAACGCCUAAUUCUCAACAACUGCAUCAUGCUGCGAACCCUCUCUGAACACAACUCCAAAAAGCAGCACUUGCAAGACUGAUGUCAGCAGAAGUAAUUGAGACAAGAAGCACACCCUGAAGUACUAAUUCUAUCUUUAUUGUAAGAUUACAUUAACAGAAUCUUUCAAGUCUGAAAGUACAUCUCUUGCACUUCAUCUUUACAGUCCAAGAAAUUGGGGGGGGGGUGUCCUUCUGAGACAUUUGCUAUGCCCCAAUCCUUCUGGAAACUCAGCUGCUCUUCUCUGACCAUUACCUAGUCUGUGGCUCCCUCUCCUACCUCCCAAGGUCAUUCUCACAUCCCAUUACAGAGGCAGAGCUUCGAUCACUACAUUGUGGCCACUAUCUUGACUUUUUUGACCUAUGCUGCAAACAUCCCUGGCUCUCAGAUGCACCCUUGCAAAAUCAGGAUCUGCCCACUUGCAGUCAUUUCGUAUCCAUUUUUAAUUACCCUUGAAGAAUGCUGAGAUAUCUCAGCUGAUUUCUCAGGUGAUCAAAACACAGGCAUUGACUACUGAAUGGAACAGGCAAAAUAUAAUUAUUGCAAAAUUUUAAAUAAUGUCAUUGGUUCACUGUCCAUUUCUGAAAACAUUUCUAAUUUUGACAAUAGCUCUUAAUGGCUGCAGUCUGUAUAUCUGGAAAAAAGCCUGUUCCUACAUUUUAAAUUUUAAGCUUGCUCUUGGUGCCCCAUGUUCUAAAGUUAGACUUAUUAGCGAACAGGAAAGAACCUGUUCCUCUCUGAAUGGCUUCCUUGAUGCCAACAUUGAUGUAUAAUUCAGAACAGUAUGAAAUCAGAUCAGUUUUUAAAGGUCUUAUGCAAUUUCCUGUCUCAUUUUUUAUUUUAAAUUACUUUAAUUGAUGGCUACAACCUGACCUAGAAGCUUUCAGAUUGAAGAGGUACAAAUUUAUUAAGCAUACAAAAUAGCAAUUAAACUUCAGAUAUAAUAUAAUUUAAAACUUCUAAUAAGUUUAGUAAAAUUAAAAUACAAAUUUACUAUAUUGAUGAACAUUAUAAUUUGAGGAAAAUAAAAUGCACAAUUAUAUUUAGAAUGAAAAAAUGUCCUUUUCUAUUAUAAUUUGACAUAGGACCAGGGCAUCUUUUCAUGCAUUUUUAAAGAACAACCUUAAAUACUUAAUUUAUUGAACCAGCUCUGCUCCAAAGUUUAAAUUACUUAUUAAUGUCCAUUUCUUUUCUGAACCAUUUUGUCUAGUGUCCUCUGAUCAAAAUAUUUAUAAUAGAAUUGUUCUCAUAGCAUCUGCCAGUAUACUAUUAACAAGUACUUUCAUAACACACAAAACUGGCCAUGCAUGGUAUGGUGUACAUUAACUGCCUUGCUCUGGAAUUACCAGUUGAAAUGCAAAUCAGCAAUUCUACCUGUAUGACCUGAAAAAAGGAACUGAUUUGCAUAUUUUCUACCUGUAAAAAUAUCAGAAAAAGAAAAAUCCUCAACCUCCUUCCCAAGUAGACCAAAGCUGAUGAAUGAGAAAUUGAAAUACCAUUAUCAAAUCUUAGGAUGGAUAAAAUGUAGGAUUCAAAUGCAGAUACUUAUUACAUUUGUUUUUUCCUGUGAGAAACAUGUUCCUCUGCUGCCCCCAAGUGGCUUCAGAAACCAAUGUUAGCGCAGCACAAGGAUGAGCCAUUAAACUAUAGUAUGAAUAAACAACCACUUUACCAUGUUUUCCUCUUGUCUAUUAACCAGCACAAAACUAUGCCAGACUUUAGGUUGACUUCAAGAAGAAAAUGACGAAGUGGUAAUGGGUAAUAAUCAGAAGGCUGACUUCCUAAUUCUUGUUUCAUGUCUGUCUUCUGUUAGAUCUCCAAUAGGGUUCUAGCUGAUCAUGGUUAUGCCACUGAGAAAAGGAUGAAACUGAAACUUGGAAAGACAAGAAAAAAUAAUUGAGAACUUGUCAAGAAUUCAAGUCUCCAGUAUUAGAUGGACUAUUGGUAAUCUUAAAGAACUCCCAUGAGAAUAACAAAGUUCCAGAAGAUUGGAAGAGCACAAAUAGAAGGUCUCAAUAAACUACUGUCCUGUAUGCUUGAGAUCUUUACUGCAAAAGGCAACAUAUUUGUGAAAGUUAGGAUAAGUAUGGUACAAAUAACAGGAUUUAGCAUGGAUUAAUCAGAGAUAAACCAUGCUACACUAACAUUGUUUUUUGACAGACUAGUUUAGUAGUUCAGGAGAAUGCAUUGGACAUAGUGUAGAGAUGAAUCUCAACUAAAUCUCCAGCAGAAUAUGAUAAUAUUCUGGAUUAUACUGUUAGAUGUAGACACAGUUAAAUUAAUGCACCCUAAAAGUGUUCAGUAAUGAUUCCAGGUUAACUUGGGAGGAGGUUAUCAGGCCCCACACGAUGCUAUCCGGGGCCCUGUGCUGUCCAACAUUUUUUAUCAGUGGGGACCUGGUCAGAACAGAGUCCGGUGGAAAAUUACUUUAUGUAAUCUGAAGUCUUGUUCUUAUUGAUGCACUUUAAGAUAGUCUUUGUCUUUUUCAA